rnacentral:rRNA from 1 species
UACGGGGGGGGCAAGCGUUGUUCGGAAUUACUGGGCGUAAAGGGCGCGUAGGCGGCCUUCUAAGUCGGACGUGAAAUCCCUCGGCUUAACCGAGGAACUGCGUCCGAUACUGAAAGGCUUGAAUCCGGGAGAGGGAUGUGGAAUUCCAGGUGUAGCGGUGAAAUGCGUAGAUAUCUGGAGGAACACCGGUGGCGAAGGCGGCACCCUGGACCGGCAUUGACGCUGAGGCGCGAAAGCUAGGGGAGCAAACGGG